rnacentral:lncRNA from 1 species
AAAUAAAACAAUAAAAUACAAGUUUUCUUCUUCUUCGUUGCUGAACGAGCUGCCGAAGCUGCUGCUUUCUUACGCCAGAUGGGGUGUAGUGCGCUGGCGACAUCUAUUGCUUGUUCUGCUCCGUGUGAACAUCUUCAUGUGCAGUUUUAGAGUCAUUGCAUCUCCUUAACUCUGUUAUUUAGCAGACGGACUACUGUUAAAAAUACAACUUUAACGAUUCACUCGAAUGUAUUCAAAUAUCUACAAAAAUGUGAAAAUGUCAAUUCGAUUAUUAUCCAUAAUUUUGUGUUAUUUUUACAGCUUCAGAAAUUGUGGCCUAGAGGCCACACUUGUUUAAGUGUGUAGUCACAGGACCUUGUAUGGUCUUUACAGUCUCUGAGAUUAAUAGUCACGGGUACCUAUAAGCAUUUCUUUCAUGAGUACUUACAGUUUCUUGAUACCAAAGUGGCCAUAUGGUUAAAUUUAAUUUCUAAUACUAUUAUAAUACCUACAAAUACACAGACAUUUUCCAUAAAAACGCUUCCAAAUAUAUUAACUUUGUUUAACAAACACACACAUGCAUUUUCCCACUGCCACGUUCAUCAUUUGACCACAUUGAUUGGCGACCAUCCAGCAACUUGCGAGGGGUCAACUGAGCAUAUUGCCAAUCAGAGACUUCGAUUCAAUUUCCUCGACUUGCCAGAGAGACGAUAAUGGGAAUGGAGCAUAAAAGCCAAGUGCGGGUGUUGCAACGCAAACGAUUCAUUCAAAAUCGGAGCAAUCAAGGCAUCACAUCAGGAUCAGGCCAAG